rnacentral:rRNA from 1 species
AGGCAGCAGUGAGGAUAUUGGUCAAUGGACGAGAGUCUGAACCAGCCAAGUAGCGUGAAGGAUGACUGCCCUAUGGGUUGUAAACUUCUUUUAUAUGGGAAUAAAGUGRKSCACGUGUGSMYUUUUGUAUGUACCRUAYGAAUAAGGAUCGGCUAACUCCGUGCCAGCAGCCGCGGUAAUACGGAGGAUCCRAGCGUUAUCCGGAUUUAUUGGGUUUAAAGGGAGCGUAGGCGGAYUVUUAAGUCAGYUGUGAAAGUUUGCGGCUCAACCGUAAAAUUGCAGUUGAUACUGGYYGUCUUGAGUGCAGUAGAGGYRGGCGGAAUUCGUGGUGUAGCGGUGAAAUGCUUAGAUAUCACGA